GACGAACGCUGGCGGCGUGCCUAAUACAUGCAAGUAGAACGCUGAAGAGAGGAGCUUGCUCUUCUUGGAUGAGUUGCGAACGGGUGAGUAACGCGUAGGUAACCUGCCUUGUAGCGGGGGAUAACUAUUGGAAACGAUAGCUAAUACCGCAUAACAAUGGAUGACCCAUGUCAUUUAUUUGAAAGGGGCAAAUGCUCCACUACAAGAUGGACCUGCGUUGUAUUAGCUAGUAGGUGAGGUAACGGCUCACCUAGGCGACGAUACAUGGCCGACCUGAGAGGGUGAUCGGCCACACUGGGACUGAGACACGGCCCAGACUCCUACGGGAGGCAGCAGUAGGGAAUCUUCGGCAAUGGGGGCAACCCUGACCGAGCAACGCCGCGUGAGUGAAGAAGGUUUUCGGAUCGUAAAGCUCUGUUGUAAGUCAAGAACGAGGGUGAGAGUGGAAAGUUCACACUGUGACGGUAGCUUACCAGAAAGGGACGGCUAACUACGUG
rnacentral:rRNA from 1 species